UGUCUUACUCAGAUACUACACGUGAAGGAUAACGUUGCUUUAGCAACGGCCCGAAGGGCGAGGCGAAGCCGAGUCAUCCUGCACGACCCACCA
rnacentral:sRNA from 1 species